rnacentral:misc_RNA from 1 species
UGGUUCUGGCAUCGAUGAAGAACGCAGCGAAAUGCGAUAAGUAAUGUGAAUUGCAGAAUUCAGUGAAUCAUCGAAUCUUUGAACGCACAUUGCGCCCCUUGGUAUUCCGAGGGGCAUGCCUGUUCGAGCGUCAUUAUAACCACUCAAGCCUUGGCUUGGUAUUGGGGUUCGCGGUCUCGCGGCCCUUAAAACUAGUGGCGGUGCCAUCUGGCUCUAAGCGUAGUAAUUCUCUCGCUACAGGGUCUAGGUGGUUACUUGCCAAAACCCCCCUAUUUUCUAUGGUUGACCUCGGAUCAGGUAGGGAUACCCGCUGA